CAUCGAGUGAGCCUAAUUUAGAGUACUGACCAGGAGAAUUCGUCUAACAAGCAAAGUUUCUUAGGAUUCUGAAUAAUAAUUUCCUUAGCGAUAUUGAUCCAAUUUCACCAAGAGGAGAUUUGUUGCGGCUACUUUAGAGUUGGAG